AAUAAGCGAAAGCUUGACAGGGUUACUCUGAGUGAUUUCCGCUAAGGAAGUCUUUUGGCACCUGUAAAAAUGGUGCAGAAUAAGGGGUGGGCAAGUCUGGUGUCAGCCGCCGCGGUAAUACA
rnacentral:rRNA from 1 species